AUGAUAGUGAGUGACACUAAGCUCCACUUGCUACCUACUUGGAAAAUGGCAGGCAAGGUCGUCUCCGGGAAGACCACUGCUGCCCAGCCCAAGAGCGUGGGGCGGCGGCUGUGGCGCUUGGCGCGCACCGUCGUCUACCUUCUGCGCCGCGGCGUGCUCUUGUCCGGGCGCAAGCUCGCCAUGGACCUCCACCGCAGCAGGGACGCCAGCAAGGCCCUCGGCGGCUUCGUCAACUUCCAGCGCCGCCCGGCGGCUCGCACUCACUCAACCUCCGUCGCAGCGAAGCGCCGUGACGACGAAACCGCCGGCUAUUGCAACAGCUACGACGCGGCCGACAUCGCCAGGUGUUCGAGAUGCUCAACGACGGCGGGCACCUCUUCGACGACGAGGACGGGGGUCUCGCGUGGGCGUCGCCGGCCUUCGGGCGCAGCGCGGCUACGGGCCAGCCGCGCAUCACCGACUCGCUGUUCACGGCGAGCCAGGACCAGCAGGUGGACAGGAAAGCCGACGAGUUCAUCAGGAGGUUCUACCAGCAACUGCGCGCCCAGAAGAGCGUCUCCGCCACGCCGGAAAACUACGGCCACGUCGUCCCAAGGCCGGUCGCCGCUUAAUUUUAGAAUUAUGAGUGCUGGACUGCUCGAGGCGGCCGCCGGUCGCCCGGCAGCGGGAGCACAACGUUGCCAUGUCUUCUUCUUCAGAAAAUGUAGUAAAUCACCCGCAUAA
rnacentral:rRNA from 1 species